rnacentral:rRNA from 1 species
CCCAGUGACCUAAAGGAGCUGGUAUCAAGCACACAACCACUGUAACUCAUGACCUUGCUCAGCCACACCCCCACGGGAUACAGCAGUGAUAAAAAUUAAGCUAUGAAUGAAAGUUCGACUAAGCGAUAUUAAACAAGGGUUGGUAAAUUUCGUGCCAGCCACCGCGGUCAUAAGAUUAACCCAAACUAAUAGACCCACGGCGUAAAGCAUGUUACAGAGAAAAACUCAUACUAAAGUUAACUAGCCUUAACUAGGCUGUAAAAAGCUACAGUUAACGUAAAAAUACAGCACGAAAGUAACUUUAACAUCUCCGACCACACGAUAGCUAAGACCCAAACUGGGAUUAGAUACCCCACUAUGCUUAGCCCUAAACCUAGAUAGUUUAACUAAACAAAACUAUCCUCCAGAGAACUACUAGCAACAGCUUAAAACUCAAAGGACUUAGCGGUGCUUUAUAUCCCUCUAGAGGAGCCUGUUCUACAAUUGAUAAACCCCGAUAUACCUCACCAUCUCUUGCUAAUUCAGCCUAUAUACCGCCAUCUUCAGCAAACCCUAAAAAAGGAAGAAAAGUAAGCACAAGUAUCUUAACACAAAAAAGUUAGGUCAAUGUGUAGCCCAUGAGAUGGGAAGCAAUGGGCUACAUUUUCUGUAACUAGAAUACCCACGAAAAUCCUUAUGAAACUAAGGACUAAAGGAGGAUUUAGUAGUAAAUUGAGAAUAGAGAGCUCAAUUGAAUCGGGCCAUGAAGCAC